rnacentral:misc_RNA from 1 species
UGCAUAUGGGUGAUGCAGCACUAGCAGUAGUGCUAGUGCAGUUUAGGAAGUUGCUGCGUGAGUAUGGUUGUUCUGAUGCGAGUUAAAUGUGAAAAGCGAUGGGUUAUAUCAGUUGGGACUGAGGGAUGAGGAACUGUAGUGUUGCCGUCUUUGUUAGGUAUGAUUGCAAAUCUGGUUAAAUGUAUUGUGAAUGGCUACCUAAAUACAUGUGCUUUUACUUUUCUGGCUUUUCGGGCUGGAAAAACACAUGUAUUUAGGUAGCCAUUAACGAUACAUUUAACCAGAUUUGCAAUCAUA